ACUCCUACGGGAGGCAGCAGUGGGGAAUAUUGCACAAUGGGCGCAAGCCUGAUGCAGCAACGCCGCGUGAGCGAUGAAGGCCUUCGGGUCGUAAAGCUCUGUCCUCAAGGAAGAAUAAAUGACGGUACUUGAGGAGGAAGCCCGGCUAACUACGUGCCAGCAGCCGCGGUAAUACGUAGGGGGCAAGCGUUAUCCGGAAUCACUGGGGCGUAAAGGGGUGCGUAGGCGGUUUUCAAGUCAGAAGUGAAAGGCUAUGGCUCAACCAUAGUAAGCUUUUGAAACUGUUAAACUUGAGUGCAGGAGAGGAAAGUGGAAUUCCUAGUGUAGAGGUGAAAUUCGUAGAUAUUAGGAGGAACACCAGUGGCAAAGGCGACUUUCUGGACUGUAACUGACGCUGAGGCACGAAAGCGUGGGGAGCGAACAGGAUUAGAUACCCUGGUAGCACAGAG
rnacentral:rRNA from 1 species